UACGUAGGUUGCUAGCGUUGUUCGGAAUUAUUGGGCGUAAAGCGCGUGUAGGCUGUUUAUUAAGUCGGGUGUGAAAUCCCUGGGCUCAACCUAGGAAGUGCAUUCGAAACUAGUAAACUAGAAGAUGGUAGAGGAAGGUGGAAUUCCAAGUGUAGAGGUGAAAUUCGUAGAUAUUUGGAGGAAUACCGGCGGCGAAGGCGGCCUUCUGGAACAUUCUUGACGCUGAGACGCGAAAGCGUGGGUAGCAAACAGG
rnacentral:rRNA from 1 species